AUCCAGUUGACGAGCCCUGAAUAGGACGAAACGCGCUUUCUGGAU
rnacentral:hammerhead_ribozyme from 1 species